rnacentral:sRNA from 1 species
AGAAAGCUUUGCCGCAGGCAACGACCCGAAGGGCGAAACGCGCAGCGCUGAGUCAUCCUUCCCCCACCACCA